CCUACGGGGUGCUGCAGUGGGGAAUAUUGCACAAUGGGGGAAACCCUGAUGCAGCGACGCCGCGUGAGUGAAGAAGUAUUUCGGUAUGUAAAGCUCUAUCAGCAGGGAAGAAAAUGACGGUACCUGACUAAGAAGCCCCGGCUAACUACGUGCCAGCAGCCGCGGUAAUACGUAGGGGGCAAGCGUUAACCGGGUUUACUGGGUGUAAAGGGAGCGUAGACGGCAGCGCAAGUCUGAAGUGAAAUCCCAUGGCUUAACCAUGGAACUGCUUUGGAAAAUGUGCAGCUAGAGUGCAGGAGAGGUAAGUGGAAUGCCUAGUGUAGCGGUGAAAUGCGUAGAUAUUAGGCGGAACACCAGUGGCGAAGGUGGCUUACUGGACUGUAACUGACGUUGAGGCUCGAAAGCGUGGGGAGCAAACAGGAUUAGAUACCCCAGUAGUC
rnacentral:rRNA from 1 species